AUGGAUGUGGCGCAACGUGCUUUAGGGGCAAUGGUUGGGGUCAAAUGCUCCAUGAGCAGGUGGUCCUGCGUUUCACCUUGGGCGGUCAGAAAUCGAGAUCGCUCCCGGCACAAUAAACAAAGCAGUUUAAAGGGUUCUGACGUACCAACUCAGCAGGGGGGUAGAUGGAGCUCUGCAUUCUGUGUCACGGGACAGCCAGUCGCUCUCGACAGGGUAGUCAAGAUUUCGAUCACCACGCUGCGUAUUGACCCUUAUAAAUCAGCAAGGCCAGAAACCGUUGCUCAUUUAGCUAUUGCCGAAAAAAAGUGUUUUGAGCCCAUAGAUGAAAUUCCUGUAGCGUUAAUUGCUUCAAGGCCAUUCAACAAUGCCGGAACGAGGGGUAAGCUGUGCCUCAUGAACCUCACGCAGGAGGAACACAUUUUACGACAGGGCCAGCCUUUAGCAACUGCGACGCCAGCGACCGAAACAGUGAUUCCGGAGGCGUUUGUGAGACAUGCUGGAGAGGAGGGUUCUUCCAAAGUACCCCUUCAAAUCAAGGGGUUACUCAACGAUAUAUGGGUUAAAGUUCUGUCUGACGUGCACGAUGAGGCCGUGCGACUCAUACCACAAUAUUCAGAUACAUUCGCUACUACAAUACUGGCUCUGAAAACCUACUAUUUUAAUGGUUAUAUAACUUAUGUUUGUCAGUUUUAAAUGUUUUAAACUAUGGGAAAAGGGUUGAUUUUCUUUUCUUUUCUUUUUUUUUUUGGGGGGGGGG
rnacentral:sRNA from 1 species